GUGGGGAAUAUUGGGCAAUGGGGGAAACCCUGACCCAGCGACGCCGCGUGAGGGAAGAAGGCCUUAGGGUCGUAAACCUCUGUUGUGUGGGAAGAAGAGCGUGACGGUACCACACGAGGAAGUCCCGGCUAACUACGUGCCAGCAGCCGCGGUAAUACGUAGGGGACGAGCGUUGUCCGGAUUUACUGGGCGUAAAGGGCGCGUAGGCGGUCAUUUAAGUCAGCUGUGAAAUGGUUUGGCUUAACCGGAUCAUGCGGUUGAAACUGGAUGACUGGAGUGCUGGAGAGGCAAGUGGAAUUCCCAGUGUAGCGGUGAAAUGCGUAGAUAUUGGGAAGAACACCGGUGGCGAAGGCGACUUGCUGGCCAGCAACUGACGCUGAGGCGCGAAAGCCAGGGGAGCAAACGGGAUUAGAAACCCCAGUAGUCC
rnacentral:rRNA from 1 species